rnacentral:rRNA from 1 species
AUUGAACGCUGGCGGCAGGCCUAACACAUGCAAGUCGAACGAGUGGCGGACGGGUGAGUAAUGUCUGGGAAACUGCCUGAUGGAGGGGGAUAACUACUGGAAACGGUAGCUAAUACCGCAUACCAUCAGAUGUGCCCAGAUGGGAUUAGCUAGUUGGUGGGUUAACGGCUCACCAAGGCGACGAUCCCUAGCUGGUCUGAGAGGAUGACCAGCAGAACUGGAACGAGGAGACGGUCCAGAAUCCUACGGGAGGCAGCAGUGGGGAAUAUUGCACAGUGGGAGCAAGCCUAAUGCAGCCAUGCCGCGUGUAUGAAGAAGGCCUUCGGGUUGUAAAGUACUUUCAGCGGGGAGGCGUUACCCGCAGAAGAAGCACCGGCUAACUCCAUGCCAGCAGCCGCGGUAAUAC